GAUGAACGCUAGCGGGAGGCCAAACACAUGCAAGCCGAGCGGUAUUGUUUCUUCGGAAAUGAGAGAGCGGCGUACGGGUGCGGAACACGUGUGCAACCUGCCUUUAUCUGGGGGAUAGCCUUUCGAAAGGAAGAUUAAUACUCCAUAACAUAUUGAACGGCAUCGUUUAAUAUUGAAAGCUCCGGCGGAUAGAGAUGGGCACGCGCAAGAUUAGCUAGUUGGUGAGGUAACGGCUCACCAAGGCGAUGAUCUUUAGGGGGCCUGAGAGGGUGAUCCCCCACACUGGUACUGAGACACGGACCAGACUCCUACGGGAGGCAGCAGUGAGGAAUAUUGGUCAAUGGGUGCAAGCCUGAACCAGCCAUCCCGCGUGAAGGACGACUGCCCUAUGGGUUGUAAACUUCUUUUGUAUAGGGAUAAACCUACCAUCGUGAGGGUAGCUGAAGGUACUAUACGAAUAAGCACCGGCUAACUCCGUGCCAGCCGCCGCAGUAAGAC
rnacentral:rRNA from 1 species